rnacentral:rRNA from 1 species
AGGGGGUUUGGAUCAUGGGCUCAGGAUGAACGCUAGCGGCAGGCCUAAUACAUGCAAGUCGAGGGGCAGCACGAGUACUUGUACUUGGUGGCGACCGGCGCACGGGUGCGUAACGCGUAUGCAACCUGCCCACUACAGAGGGAUAGCCCAGAGAAAUUUGGAUUAAUACCUCAUGGUUUCAACGAUUCGCAUGUUUUGUUGAAUAAAGAUUUUAUCGGUAGUGGAUGGGCAUGCGUCCAAUUAGUUUGUUGGUGAGGUAACGGCUCACCAAGGCGAUGAUUGGUAGGGGUUCUGAGAGGAUGAUCCCCCACACUGGCACUGAGAUACGGGCCAGACUCCUACGGGAGGCAGCAGUAAGGAAUAUUGGUCAAUGGAGGCAACUCUGAACCAGCCAUGCCGCGUGAAGGAUGAAGGCUUUCUGAGUCGUAAACUUCUUUUAUACGGGAAGAAAACGCCCUGCGGGGUUUAUUGACGGUACCGUACGAAUAAGCACCGGCUAACUCCGUGCCAGCAGCCGCGGUAAUACGGAGGGUGCGAGCGUUGUCCGGAAUUAUUGGGUUUAAAGGGUGCGUAGGCGGAAUAUUAAGUCAGGGGUGAAAUCCCGCAGCUCAACUGCGGAACUGCCCUUGAUACUGGUUUUCUUGAGUUCGGUUGAGGCAGGCGGAAUUUAUGAUGUAGCGGUGAAUGCAUAGAUAUCAUAAGAACACCGAUUGCGAAGGCAGCCUGCUGGGCCGUUCUGACGCUGAGCACAAAGCGUGGGGAGCGAACA